GACGAACGCUGGCGGCGUGCUUAACACAUGCAAGUCGAACGGAAAGGCCCUGCUUUUGUGGGGUGCUCGAGUGGCGAACGGGUGAGUAACACGUGAGUAACCUGCCCUUGACUUUGGGAUAACUUCAGGAAACUGGGGCUAAUACCGGAUAGGAGCUCCUGCUGCAUGGUGGGGGUUGGAAAGUUUCGGCGGUUGGGGAUGGACUCGCGGCUUAUCAGCUUGUUGGUGGGGUAGUGGCUUACCAAGGCUUUGACGGGUAGCCGGCCUGAGAGGGUGACCGGCCACAUUGGGACUGGGAUGCGGCCCAGACUCGUACGGUAGGCAGGAGUGGGGAGUGUUGCAGAAGGGGCGGGAGGUUGUUGCAGCACCGCAGCGAGGGGGAUGAGGGCCAGGGGGUUGGGAACCGAUGACGCCUGUGCCGGGGCGUGAAUGACGGUACUGGGUGAAGAAGCACCGGCUAACUACGUG
rnacentral:rRNA from 1 species